GACGAACGCUGGCGGCGUGCCUAACACAUGCAAGUCGAACGAGGUCCAUCCUUCGGGAGAAGACCUAGUGGCGAACGGGGUGAGUAACACGUGAGAAACCUGCCCCGAAGACCGGGAUAACCCUCCGAAAGGAGAGCUAAUACCGGAUGCCCCCACCGAGCCGCAUGGCUUGGUGAGGAAAUGGAUUCCGCUUCGGGAGGGUCUCGCGGCCUAUCAGCUAGUUGGUGGGGUAACGGCCCACCAAGGCAUCGACGGGUAGCUGGUCUGAGAGGACGAUCAGCCACACUGGGACUGAGACACGGCCCAGACUCCUACGGGAGGCAGCAGUGGGGAAUCUUGCGCAAUGGGCGAAAGCCUGACGCAGCAACGCCGCGUGGGGGAUGAAGGCUCUCGGGUUGUAAACCCCUUUCAGCAGGGACGAAAUCAGACGGUACCUGCAGAAGAAGCUCCGGCUAACUACGUGCCAG
rnacentral:rRNA from 1 species